rnacentral:rRNA from 1 species
GGAUUAGAUACCCUGGUAGUCCACACCGUAAACGCUGUCUACUAGCUGUGUGUGAUUUUAAAUCGUGCGUAGCGCAGCUAACGCGAUAAGUAGACCGCCUGGGGAGUACGGCCGCAAGGUUAAAACUCAAAUGAAUUGACGGGGGCCCGCACAAGCGGUGGAGCAUGUGGUUUAAUUCGAAGCAACGCGAAGAACCUUACCAGCCCUUGACAUCGGGAUCGCGCAGACCAGAGAUGGACUGCUUCAGUUCGGCUGGAUCCAUGACAGGUGUUGCAUGGCUGUCGUCAGCUCGUGUCG